rnacentral:rRNA from 1 species
AGUGNCGAACGGGUGAGUAACACGUGAGUAACCUGCCCUUGACUCUGGGAUAAGCCUCGGGCAAACUGGGUCUAAUACCGGAUAGGAGCGCCUGUCGCAUGACGGGUGCUGGAAAGAUCUUUCGGUCAUGGAUGGACUCGCGGCCUAUCAGCUUGUUGGUGAGGUAACGGCUCACCAAGGCGACGACGGGUAGCCGGCCUGAGAGGGUGACCGGCCACACUGGGACUGAGACACGGCCCAGACUCCUACGGGAGGCAGCAGUGGGGAAUAUUGCACAAUGGGCGAAAGCCUGAUGCAGCGACGCCGCGUGAGGGAUGACGGCCUUCGGGUUGUAAACCUCUUUCAGCAGGGAAGAAGCGAAAGUGACGGUACCUGCAGAAGAAGCACCGGCUAACUACGUGCCAGCAGCCGCGGUAAUACGUAGGGUGCGAGCGUUAUCCGGAAUUAUUGGGCGUAAAGAGCUCGUAGGCGGUUUGUCACGUCUGUCGUGAAAGUCCGGGGCUUAACCCCGGAUCUGCGGUGGGUACGGGCAGACUAGAGUGCAGUAGGGGAGACUGGAAUUCCUGGUGUAGCGGUGGAAUGCGCAGAUAUCAGGAGGAACACCGAUGGCGAAGGCAGGUCUCUGGGCUGUAACUGACGCUGAGGAGCGAAAGCAUGGGGAGCGAACAGGAUUAGAUACCCUGGUAGUCCAUGCCGUAAACGUUGGGCACUAGGUGUGGGGACCAUUCCACGGUUUCCGCGCCGCAGCUAACGCAUUAAGUGCCCCGCCUGGGGAGUACGGCCGCAAGGCUAAAACUCAAAGGAAUUGACGGGGGCCCGCACAAGCGGCGGAGCAUGCGGAUUAAUUCGAUGCAACGCGAAGAACCUUACCAAGGCUUGACAUGUUUUCGACCGCCGUGG